rnacentral:lncRNA from 1 species
UGUUGUGUAUAUCCCUUCCCGACUAGGCGAACUUUGUAUUUUUCAAUACUACUACAAACUUUUUGCUUAAUUUUGAGAAACCAUUUGUUCCCAAUGGCUUUGCAUCUUUUAGGUAAAUCGAUCAACUCCCAAACUUAGUUAGAUUUCAUGGACUCCAUUUCCUCUUCCAUUGAUUUCAUCCAUUUUUCCUUUUGUAGGGCAUUUGAAAGCCUCAUUUACUUUCCUUAACUCUUCCUCAUCUUUUACAGUAACUAAGAAUAUUCCCCCUUCAAUCUCAAAAUGGUGACGAGGAACACUUUUCUUAUUUGUUCAACGUAUUUGAGAUUAUUCUAAGUUACUUCCACUAGGACUAGUUUCCAUACUUGACCUCACCAUCAUUUGUGAUUAGGUUUCAAUUGAAACAGGUUCAUUGAAUCUCAUAUCACUCCCACUCAAAUAUAGUUGGUCUAUUUGUAUCUGUGAGGUGAAAAUAGUUUGGUCUUGAGUUUCU